ensembl:snRNA LOC120098728 U2 spliceosomal RNA
AUCGCUUCUCGGCCUUUUGGCUAAGAUCAAGUGUAGUAUCUUUUCUUAUCAGUUUAAUAUCUGAUACGUCCUCUAUCCGAGGACAAUAUAUUAAAAAAAAAGAGUUAAAGAUGUAUCUGUCCACAUAUUUACCAUUU